UGAGGAAUAUUGGUCAAUGGGUGCAAGCCUGAACCAGCCAUCCCGCGUGAAGGACGACUGCCCUAUGGGUUGUAAACUUCUUUUGUAUAGGGAUAAACCUACCCUCGUGAGGGUAGCUGAAGGUACUAUACGAAUAAGCACCGGCUAACUCCGUGCCAGCAGCCGCGGUAAUACGGAGGGUGCAAGCGUUAUCCGGAUUUAUUGGGUUUAAAGGGUCCGUAGGCGGACUUAUAAGUCAGUGGUGAAAGCCUGUCGCUUAACGAUAGAACUGCCAUUGAUACUGUAAGUCUUGAGUAUAUUUGAGGUAGCUGGAAUAAGUAGUGUAGCGGUGAAAUGCAUAGUUAUUACUUAGAACACCAAUUGCGAAGGCAGGUUACCAAGAUAUAACUGACGCUGAGGGACGAAAGUGUGGGGAGCGAAC
rnacentral:rRNA from 1 species